GGAGGAAUAUUGCGCAAUGGAGGAAACUCUGACGCAGCGACGCCGCGUGAAGGAUGAAGGCCCUCUGGGUUGUAAACUUCUGUAGAGAGGGAAGAAUUUCUCGUUUCGCGAGAUUGACGGUACCUCUAAAGUAAGGGUCGGCUAACUACGUGCCAGCAGCCGCGGUAAUACGUAGGACCCGAGCGUUGUCCGGAUUUACUGGGUGUAAAGGGAGCGCAGGCGGAUUAUUAAGUCGAUUGUGAAAUCUUGC
rnacentral:rRNA from 1 species